UACGUAGGUGGCAAGCGUUGUCCGGAUUUACUGGGCGUAAAGAGCGCGCAGGCGGUCGUUCAAGUCGCGUGUGAAAGCCCCCGGCUCAACUGGGGAGGGUCACGCGAUACUGAUCGACUCGAAGGCAGGAGAGGGAAGUGGAAAUUCCCGGUGUAGUGGUGAAAUGCGUAGAUAUCGGGAGGAACACCAGUGGCGAAGGCGACUUCCUGGCCUGUUCUUGACGCUGAGGCGCGAAAGCUAGGGGAGCAAACGGG
rnacentral:rRNA from 1 species